rnacentral:rRNA from 1 species
UACAGAGGUCUCAAGCGUUUGUUCGGAUUCAUUGGGCGUAAAGGGUGCGUAGGUGGCGCGGUAAGUCGGGUGUGAAAUCUCGGAGCUUAACUCCGAAAUGCAUUCGAUACUGCGGUGCUUGAGGACUGGAGAGGAGACUGGAAUUCAUGGUGUAGCAGUGAAAUGCGUAGAGAUCAUGAGGAAGACCAGUGGCGAAGGCGGGUCUCUGGACAGUUCCUGACACUGAGGCACGAAGGCCAGGGGAGCAAACGGG